rnacentral:rRNA from 1 species
UACGAAGGGUGCUAGCGUUGUUCGGAAUCACUGGGCGUAAAGCGCGCGUAGGUGGCUUUGCAAGUCAGGGGUGAAAUCCCACAGCUCAACUGUGGAACUGCCUCUGAAACUGCAAAGCUAGAGUGUCGGAGGGGAUAGCGGAAUUGCUAAUGUAGAGGUGAAAUUCGUAGAUAUUAGCAGGAACACCGGUGGCGAAGGCGGCUAUCUGGACGACAACUGACACUGAGGCGCGAAAGCGUGGGGAUCAAACAGG